rnacentral:tRNA from 1 species
GGCUUCGUGGUCUAGUGGUAUGAUUGUCGCUUCGGGUGUGACAGGCCUCGGGUUCGAAUCCCGACGGAGCCC